UACGAAGGUCCCAAGCGUUAUCCGGAUUUAUUGGGUUUAAAGGGUGCGUAGGCGGGCUAUUAAGUCAGUGGUGAAAGCCUCAAGCUUAACUUGAGAAUUUCCAUUGAUACUGAUGACCUUGAGUACAUUUGAAGUGGGCGUAAUGUGUCAUGUAGCGGUGAAAUGCUUAGAUAUGACACAGAACACCGAUUGCGUAGGCAGCUCACUAAACUGUAACUGACGCUGAGGCACGAAAGCGUGGGGAGCAAACAGG
rnacentral:rRNA from 1 species